rnacentral:piRNA from 1 species
GAUAAGGAUUGGACCAGGA